GAUGAACGCUAGCGGCAGGCCUAACACAUGCAAGUCGAGGGAGAAGCCCUUCGGGGCAGAAACCGGCGCACGGGUGCGUAACGCGUAUGCAACCUACCUUUCACAGGGGGAUAGCCCGAAGAAAUUUGGAUUAAUACCCCAUAAUAUUGUUGGAUGGCAUCAUCUGGCAAUUAAAACUGAGGUGGUGAGAGAUGGGCAUGCGUCCUAUUAGCUAGUUGGAGUGGUAACGGCACCCCAAGGCUACGAUAGGUAGGGGUCCUGAGAGGGAGAUCCCCCACACUGGUACUGAGACAGGGACCAGACUCCUACGGGAGGCAGCAGUGAGGAAUAUUGGUCAAUGGUCGGAAGACUGAACCAGCCAUGCCGCGUGCAGGAAGAAUGCCUUAUGGGUUGUAAACUGCUUUUAUAUGGGAAGAAUAAGGUGUACGUGUACAUGAUGACGGUACC
rnacentral:rRNA from 1 species